CACCUAUAAUCGUUUUAAUCGAUGGGGGGACGCAGUAGGAUAGGCGAAGCGUGCGAUUGGAUUGCACGUCUAAGCAGUAAGGCUGAGUAUUAGGCAAAUCCGGUACUCGUUAAGGCUGAGCUGUGAUGGGGAGAAGACAUUGUGUCUUCGAGUCGUUGAUUUCACACUGCCGAGAAAAGCCUCUAGAUAGAAAAUAGGUGCCCGUACCGCAAACCGACAC
rnacentral:rRNA from 1 species